rnacentral:rRNA from 1 species
AAGGAAUAUUGGUCAAUGGGCGGAAGCCUGAACCAGCCAUGCCGCGUGCAGGAAGACGGCCCUACGGGUUGUAAACUGCUUUUGUACCGGAAUAAACCUAUGUAUGUAUAUGUAGCUGAAUGUACGGUAAGAAUAAGGAUCGGCUAACUCCGUGCCAGCAGCCGCGGUAAUACGGAGGAUCCGAGCGUUAUCCGGAUUUAUUGGGUUUAAAGGGUGCGUAGGCGGCCUGUUAAGUCAGGGGUGAAAGACGGUAGCUCAACUAUCGCAGUGCCCUUGAUACUGAUGGGCUUGAAUGUACUAGAGGUAGGCGGAAUGUGACAAGUAGCGGUGAAAUGCAUAGAUAUGUCACAGAACACCAAUUGCGAAGGCAGCUUACUAUGGUAUGAUUGACGCUGAGGCACGAAAGCGUGGGGAUCAAAC